UACGUAGGGUGCGAGCGUUUGUCCGGAAUUAUUGGGCGUAAAGAGCUCGUAGGCGGCUUGUCGCGUCGGAUGUGAAAGCCCGGGGCUUAACCCCGGGUCUGCAUUCGAUACGGGCAGGCUAGAGUUCGGUAGGGGAGAUCGGAAUUCCUGGUGUAGCGGUGAAAUGCGCAGAUAUCAGGAGGAACACCGGUGGCGAAGGCGGAUCUCUGGGCCUUACCUGACGCUCAGGCGCGAAAGCUAGGGGAGCGAACAGG
rnacentral:rRNA from 1 species